rnacentral:lncRNA from 1 species
AGUGGUUUCAUUCAGCGGUUACUGCAAAAGCUGUCCAGGUAAGUCCCAUGACAGCCUCACAGGGUCCUUUGAAGGAUCAAUCAGUCCACAGGAUCAGAGACUACUUUGCCCUCAGCAUUUUCAGAAUUUCAGCGACAGGGCAUAAUACAUUAUUUGAUUAUCUUAGCUUAGUAUAACAAAAUCCCAAGCUCUUCAAUUCCUAAUAAUAUGGGGUUUUUGUUUUUGCAUUUUUUUUUUGUGGUGAUUAUUACUUCAUAGCAAACUUCUCUCUGCUGGUGUUUUGCUGUUUUGCUUAUCUCCACUGGGGCUGGGUUAUAAUAGCUUGGAGAUGUUUGUUUCCUGUUUGUGGAAUGUCUGACUUUCCAGCUCACUUUGCCCACAGGUUUGAGGCUGAUAGAUUCCAGGAAAAUAGGAAGAAUUCCAUUCAAAAUACCAUAAAAAUGGAGCAGGCUACAAGACUUUUGAGAUAACACUACUGUUAAAUUUUUUAAAAGAAAGACAUUCUGAACCUGAGAGUCUCUUCAGUUUCAUGAAGUGUCCCGGCAGGACGCUGAAGGCUACCGAGAAC